GCGUCGGUGGUGCAACGGUUUAGCACACGCUCCCAAAAGGAGUGAGAUCUGGAUUCGAAUCCCGGUAGACGCA